GGAGGGGGGCGAGCGUUAUUCGGAAUUAUUGGGCGUAAAGGGCAGGUAGGCGGCUUCGUGUGUCCUCUGUGAAAGACCCCCGGGCUCAACCGGGGAAUUGCAGGGGAAACUGCGGAGCUUGAGUCCCGGGAGAGGGUAGUGGAAUUCCCAGUGUAGCGGUGAAAUGCGUAGAUAUUGGGAGGAACACCAGUGGCGAAGGCGACUACCUGGACCGGUACUGACGCUGAGCUGCGAAAGCCAGGGGAGCGAACGGGAUUAGAUACCCCGGUAGUCCUGGCUGUAAACGAUGAGCACUUGGUGUGGCGGGUAUCGACCCCUGCUGUGCCGAAGCUAACGCAUUAAGUGCUACGCCUGGGGAGUACGGUCGCAAAGGCUG
rnacentral:rRNA from 1 species